rnacentral:tRNA from 1 species
GGAAACGUACCGAAGUGGUCGUAACGGGAACGACUCGAAAUCGUUUUGUCUCUUGCGAGGCACGUGGGUUCGAAUCCCACCGUUUCCG